AUUGAACGCUGGCGGCAUGCUUUACACAUGCAAGUCGAACGGCAGCACGGGGGCAACCCUGGUGGCGAGUGGCGAACGGGUGAGUAAUGCAUCGGAACAUGCCCAGUCGUGGGGGAUAACGUAGCGAAAGUUACGCUAAUACCGCAUACGUCCUGAGGGAGAAAGCGGGGGAUCGCAAGACCUCGCGCGAUUGGAGUGGCCGAUGUCAGAUUAGCUAGUUGGUGGGGUAAAGGCCUAACAAGGCGACGAUCUGUAGCGGGUCUGAGAGGAUGAUCCGCCACACGGGGACUGAGACACGGCCCAGACUCCUACGGGAGGCAGCAGUGGGGAAUUUUGGACAAUGGGGGCAACCCUGAUCCAGCCAUGCCGCGUGCGGGAAGAAGGCCUUCGGGUUGUCAACCGCUUUCGGACGGAAAGAAAUCGCUUGGGUUAAUACCCUGAGUGGAUGACGGUACCGUAAGAAGAAGCACCGGCUAACUACGUGCCAGCAGCCGCAGUAAUAC
rnacentral:rRNA from 1 species